CCUACGGGGGGCAGCAGUGAGGAAUAUUGGUCAAUGGACGAGAGUCUGAACCAGCCAAGUAGCGUGAAGGAUGAAUGCCCUAUGGGUUGUAAACUUCUUUUAUAUGGGAAUAAAAUGUUCCACGUGUGGGAUUUUGUAUGUACCAUAUGAAUAAGGAUCGGCUAACUCCGUGCCAGCAGCCGCGGUAAUACGGAGGAUCCGAGCGUUAUCCGGAUUUAUUGGGUUUAAAGGGAGCGUAGGUGGAUUGUUAAGUCAGUUGUGAAAGUUUGCGGCUCAACCGUAAAAUUGCAGUUGAAACUGGCAGUCUUGAGUACAGGAGAGGUGGGCGGAAUUCGUGGUGUAGCGGUGAAAUGCUUAGAUAUCACGAAGAACUCCGAUUGCGAAGGCAGUUCACUGGACUGCAACUGACACUGAGGCUCGAAAGUGUGGGUAUCAAACAGGAUUAGAUACCCGAGUAGUC
rnacentral:rRNA from 1 species